UACGGGGGGGGCAAGCGUUGUUCGGAAUUACUGGGCGUAAAGGACUCGUAGGCGGCCAACUAAGUCAGACGUGAAAUCCCUCGGCUUAACCGGGGAACUGCGUCUGAUACUGGAUGGCUUGAGAUUGGGAGAGGGAUGCGGAAUUCCAGGUGUAGCGGUGAAAUGCGUAGAUAUCUGGAGGAGCACCGGUGGCGAAGGCGGCAUCCUGGACCAACACUGACGCUGAGGAGCGAAAGCCAGGGGAGCAAACGGG
rnacentral:rRNA from 1 species